rnacentral:lncRNA from 1 species
GGUCCCUGAUUUUCCAUGUGUUAUUCCCUCUAUCUGAAUUCCCUUCAUCCCAUUCACCAUCUAUUAAAAUCUUCUCUUUGUAAAUUCCAACUAAAGUGACUGCAAAUCAGAUAAAAUUAAGGACUUACUAUUAUUUUAGGAGAGAUAAUGGUAUUGUGGUUAUGUAUUUUUUAAAGUGUCCCUAUCUUUUGAAGAUACAUAUUGAAAUUAUUACAAAAGAAAUGUGAUGAUGUCUGGGAUUUGCUUCAAGAUAAUCUGGGGGUGGGAGUGGGGGGAGGGGAUGGGGGCACAGAUAAAACUAUUAUUACACGUGGCCUAGGUUGGUUUGACUUGGAGAAGAGAUCAAGGAUGUUCCCAUCAGGUAGCUCUGGUUUCAAAUUUUAAAUGCCUUCAAUGCCUCAGAAAGACUAGCAAACUCACAUUGCUAUAUUUAGCAAAAGAUUCCUUCAGCCCACACCAUAUAAAAUGAAAAUAAAAACUCUCCUUCUAAAAAACUGGCAGCUUUUUAAAGAUCAGAACUUAAUGCAUCAAGUAUAAAUACACUGGACCCUGGUCUGGAAUGAAAAUAUUUCAGUCACUGUCUGGGUCCACCACUAACAGCAAGUGAUGCUAAGCGAGGCAGAGCUCUCCCCCGAGUAACCGUCUCCCUUUAUAGCUUUGUCUAUCAACUCCAGUCCUAUCCUUGGACUCACUCCCUGCUCCUAUGUAUUCAACUGCCUGGUAGGUAAUUUUAGUGCAUAUAAAAAAAUACUCAUUUCCCCGCUAAAACCAACCAACACACCUCCCCACCACCAUUUUCCCAACUUCCCACCCACUUCGAUGACACAUCAGGUUGAAGACCCCAGGAAUACCUAGCACUCCUCCUCUUUCUCAUUCCUGACUACCCUUUCUUUGAAGCCUGUCCCUCUCUAUUCCUACCCCCUCAAUGAUCAAAUAACCAAAUCAGAAAACAGAGUAUGUGCAGCAUCUAAAAAGAACAAAUUAGAAUGAAACCUCUUGAUUUAUAGGGAUUUCUCCAAGGUGUUCAGAAAAACAGGAUGCAAAAAUUAGUUUCAAUAUGAUUCUAUUUUUUAAAAACAAGAUUCCCAACCCACUGUAUGUAUGUGUAUAUACAUUUCUGUAUCACACAAGAAUGAACAAAAGCAUGAACGGAUGCAUACAUGAGUUAGCUGGCAGCAGGGUUCUGCAAAAAGAGAAAGUGAAAAGAAAAGGAAAUGGGGCAAGCAUACCUAUAUACCAGUAGAUGUAAGUGUUUAAAACUUUUAAACAAAAUGAAUUAAAAAUACUGAACGAAUGCAACUGUACAAAUGAAUCUUCCAUUCUUCCAGAAAAUAGUAUAUUUUAAAAUUCUGUGCCAGUCUUAUAUCUAUACAUUCUUUAACAGUCCUCUCAUGAAAAAGUGGAAACAAAUUACCCUACCCCUGAAUAUGGCUGGCUUUAGUGACUUCCUUCUAACCAGCAGAAUGCAGUAGAAAUGAGGCCGUGUGACUCUCCACGCUGGAGGAGGCCAGGCACUGAGGCUUCCACCGGCUCGCUCUUGCUUGUGUGAUGCCUGCCCUUGGAACCCAGCCACCGUACCGUGAGGAAGCCAAGCAGCCAUGUGGAAAGGCCACUACAGGUGUUCCAGCCACAGUUCUCACGGAGGUCCCAGCUAAUAGCUGGCAUCAGCUGCCAGACAUCACAUGGUGAGGGAGCCUGCACAAGAUUCUAGCCUCCGCCCCUGGACGCUCCAACUUUGAACCAGCCCUCCUCACUUGAGUGCCGCAGAGAGAAUUGAGUAUUAUUGCUGAGCUCUGCCCAAAGUGCAGUUUGUAUGCAAAAUAGUUCUGCCCUUAUUUUAAGUGAUAACUUUUGGAGAGACUUUUUUACACAACAGUAGAUAAUGGAACAAAUACUACUUAUGAUUUUGCAGAGUAAAUCGGCUUCUCGCUUUCCACCUCUAUUGUCUUAUGAGUCACUGUUAUGAAGUUUACACAUGUCUGUUUUCCUGCUUCCACCUACUAGUGCUCAAGGAUGCAGGGUGCUGAGGCAGGGGUGUGAGGGCACGUGCAGAUGUGGUAGACAGAAGGCAAGGUCAGGGUAGGUGAAAGACCAGUUACAAGGAGCAAAUAAGUAAAUAUACUGAGAAUAGUGAAAGCCAGGUUUCUUCCAAGUACCUCUUGGAAGAGGUACUUACAAACAUGCAAAGGGCUUAGGCUGGAGAGAACCCUAAAAUGUUACAUUGGAAUUUAAGAGAUCAGUCUGAAUACAUGGUUUUUAAGAUAUAUAAAGAAAAAGGCAGGCGUGGUGGCCCACGCCUGUAAUCCCAGCACUUUGGGAGGCCAAGGUGGGCAGAUCACCUGAGGUCAGGAGUUCGAGACCAGCCUGACCAACAUGGCGAGACCACGUCUC